UCGUCGGCUUCCUUGCAGAGUCUGCAUUUUGGGUCAUCAGCUGAUUUUUCGAUCUUGGCCUUGAUUGCCUUUGUCCUGAUGUCUUGCUCCUGGGCUGCAAGGAUCAGGCCUUCUGUCUCCUUCUUCAGGGUCCCAUUCGUGAGCCAGAGCCAGGUCUUCUCCUUAUCAGCUUUUCAUUCAAUUUUGUCAAGGAACUUUCCAUGCAAUGUUUUGUUGUGCCAGCUGUCAGCUCUAGUUUGUAGUGCGGUUUUCUUGUACUGGUUUUUUGUCUGCUGUGCUUUGAGGAGUUUCUGAUUUUUGACUUCAAUCCAAGCAGGUUCUUCACUUUGCUUUACAUCUUCUGCCAGGGCAUGUUCUUCUUCUUUGACUGCUUCUUUGACUUGUAAGAGUCCUCUGCCCCUUGAUCUUCUAGGCAGAUAUAGCCGGUCAACAUCACUGCGAGGGUGCAGGGAAUGAUGAAUGGUCAUGAAUUUUCUUGUUUUUCUGUCCAAAUUGUCCAGUUCCGUCUGUGUCCAGUUUAUGAUGUCAGCAGUAUAUCUUAUGACAGGUACGGCCCAGGUGUUUAUGGCUUUGAUGGUGUUGCCUCCAUUGAGCUUGCUUUUGAGAAUUUUUCUGACCCUUUGUGUGUAUUCUUUGCUGACCACAAUUUUCACAUGUUCAUGCUUGAUGUUGUCCAGCUGUAAUAUGCCCAGAUAUUUAUAGGCCUCUGGCUGGUGACACCUUAUUGUUUGGCCAUUGGGCACAUUGAUGCCCUCACUUUCAAUUAUUUUUCCCUUCUUCAAUGCCACUGUCGAACAUUUGUCCAAACCAAACUCCAUGCUGAUAUAUCAGUGCUAAAAAUUCGGACAGUGUUAGUCAGAGACUGGAUUUCUGUUUCCGUUUUCCCAUACAGCUUCAGGUCAUCCAUGUACAUGAGAUGCAAAAUUUUGUGAAAUUUGUUAGAUGUUAGAUAGCCGAGAUUUGUUUUUUGUUAGAAUUAUUAUUAUUAUCAAUAUUAUUGUUCAACAUAAGUAUCGGCUGGAGCGGCCAUCUGUCAGGAGGGAUCGGAUGAUGUUUUCCAGCCUGGUCUGGAUGGCCCUGGAUGGAAAAUAUCCAAUAUUGAAGACAGUCAUGGAGAGUGUAGUAGAAAAGGGUCUUCUAGGAAUGAGAGAUGGAAGGAUGGGACCCCCAAAGGCCAUCUAGUCCAACCCCUUGGCCCUACGGCUCUGCUCUCCACCUCCUUCCAACCUGUUGCUAUCUGCUUUUUCCUUCCCUCCCUUCCUUUGGAGGCGGAGCCCCGAAAGCCACUCUCCAUGAUGUCACAGCCGCCUUGUCCAGAGCCGACUGGAGGAAGGUGAGCGCCGUGAAGGUAUUGGCUGCCUUUGGGGAGAAGGAAGGGGAAAGCAGACCCUCCCGGGGCUAUAAAGACACAAGGCCGGCCCAGAGCAUCCUCUGUCUGGAAGGGACACUCAGGUGAGCUCUGGACCGGCAUCCAGGCACCGGAGAAGGAGGAGACAGCCUCCUGCCUCACCUGGCCAGGACCACUUUCCUAUUGCAAAUCCCCCCAGGAAAGAAGGAAGGAAGAAAGAAGGGAAAUCGGGAAUUCACCUGGAAGGCUAGUUUUGGGGCUGGACAAACACAAUCUGAUCCCUCCCGACAGAUGGCCACCCAGCCUUCUCUGCUCGCUCUCUCUCUCUCUCUCUCUCUGUAUUACUUUUGGUUUAUUACUAAUGACAAUAAUAAUAAGUAUCGUAAGGUAGAAAAACUCUUUCGGUAUGGUUAAUAUGGUUAUCAUAAGGAAGGAAAGGUCUUUUGGGUUAUUAUUAAUAAUAAUAAUAAUAAUAAUAAUAAUAAUAAUAAUAAUAAUGGAUUAUAAUAUAAUAAUAAUAAUAAUAAUAAUAUAAUAAUAAUAUCCUAUGGAAAACUAUUGUCAGAAUGAUAUUAAAUUAAUAAAUAACAAUAAUAACAAGUAUUCUGAGGAAUAGAAACUUAAUAAUAAGUGGUGUAAGGAUGAGAAACUUUUGUUGUAAUAAUAAUAAUAAUAAUAAUAACAAUAUCCUAUGGAAAACUGUUGUGUUGUCAGAAUGACAGACUGAAUGUCAGGACUCUUACAAGUCAAACAAGCAGUCAAAGAAGAAGAACAUGCCCUGGCAGAAUAUGUAAAGCAAAGUGAAGAACCUGCUUUGAUUGAAGUCAAAAAUCAGAAACUCCUCAAAGCACAGCAGACAAAAAACCAGUACAAGAAAACUGCACUACAAACUAGAGCUGACAGCUGGCACAACAAAACAUUGCAUGGAAAGUUCCUUGACAAGAUUGACAGAAAAGCUGAUAAGGAGAAGACCUGGCUCUGGCUCACGAAUGGGACCCUGAAGAAGGAGACAGAAGGCCUGAUCCUUGCAGCCCAGGAGCAAGACAUCAGGACAAAGGCAAUUCAGGCCAAGAUCGAAAAAUCAGCUGAUGACCCAAAAUGCAGAUUCUGCAAGGAAACCGAUGAAACCAUGGAUCAUAUCCUCAGCUGCUGUAAGAAAAUCGCACAGACAGACUACAAACAGAGGCACAACUAUGUGGCCCAAAUGAUUCAUUGGAACUUAUGCCUUAAGUACCACCUCCCAGCAGGAAAGAACUGGUGGGAUCACAAACCUGCAAAAAUAUUGGAAAAUGAGCACGCAAAGAUACUGUGGGACUUCCGAAUCCAGACUGACAAUACAACACACCAGACAUCACAGUUGUGGAAAAGAAAAAGGUUUGGAUCAUUGAUGUCGCCAUCCUAGGUGACAGUCGCAUUGACGAAAAACAACAGGAAAAACUCAGCCGCUAUCAGGACCUCAAGAUUGAACUUCAAAGACUCUGGCAGAAACCAGUGCAGGUGGUCCCGGUGGUGAUGGGCACACUGGGUGCCGUGCCAAAAGAUCUCAGCCGGCAUUUGGAAACAAUAGACAUUGACAAAAUUACGAUCUGCCAACUGCAAAAGGCCACCCGACUGGGAUCUGCACGCAUCAUCCGAAAAUACAUCACACAGUCCUAGACACUUGGGAAGUGUUCAACUUGUGAUUUUGUGAUACGAAAUCCAGCAUGUCUAUCUUGUCUGCUGUGUCAUAAAUAAUAAUAAUAAUAAUAAUAAUAAUAAUAAUAAUAAUAAUAAUAUAUUAGUAAAUAUAUGGAAGAGAAACAGUUGCUCUUCCAUAUAUUUACUCCCGGUGAUAUCAUGAUGACAACCCAACAGGGUUUUUGCACCUUUGGGGCCAGGCGCCUAUCUUCUUACUCCUAAUCCGCCUUAAAUCUGACAUAACCCUGUUUAGGAUUAGAGCCUUAGUCGUGCAAAACUCCUUAGCGAAGAAUCAGUUGCGAGAGGCACUAAGCUUCCUCGCUUUGAUUUGAUUUGCCUCAAGGAGAGGGAAUGAAAGAGAGAGCUUCUACUAGGUUGGCAGAAGCUGGGGCUAACAGUGGGAGCUCACCCUUCUUCUUCCCAGAUUCGAACCACUGACCUUUCGGUCAGCAAGUCCAGCAGCUCAGCGGUUUAACCUGCUGCAACACCGGAUAAUAAUAUUAUUACUAUUAAUAAGCAUAAGGGGAAGAGAAACUGAUAUAUAACAAUAUGUAUUAUAAGUAUUAUAAGGAGGUGCUGUGUAUGGGUAAGUAUAUAUAUCUGGGCUCAUUGCAGUCUAGCGACGUAUUAAUAUUAUUUAUUUAUUUUAUUUAUUAGUGACAUUUAUAUCCCGCCCUUCUCACCCCGAAUGGGACUCAGUAUUUACCAAUUGUAUUAUUAUUAUUAUUAUUGCCGACAUUUAUAUCCCACCCUUCUCACCCCGAAGGGGACUCAGUAUUUACCUAUUGUAUUAUUAUUAUUAUUAUUAUUAUUAUUAUUAUUAUUAUUAUUAUUAUUAUUAGCGGCAUUUAUAUCCCACCCUUCUCACCCCGAAGGGGACUCAGUAUUUACCUAUUGUAUUAUUAUUAUUAUUAUUAUUAUUAUUAUUAUUAUUAGCGACAUUUAUAUCCCACCCUUCUCACCCCGAAGAGGACUCAGUAUUUACCUAUUGUAUUAUUAUUAUUAUUAUUAUUAUUAUUAUUAUUAUUAUUAGCGACAUUUAUAUCCCGCCCUUCUCACACCGAAGGGGACUCAGUAUUUACCUAUUGUAUUAUUAUUAUUAUUAUUAUUAUUAUUAUUAUUAUUAUUAGCGACAUUUAUAUCCCGCCCUUCUCACCCUGAAGGGGGACUCAGGGCGGCUUCAAGUUAUUUAUACAUACAAUAUAUUAUAUUAUUAGCAUAGCACAACAUAAGCACUAUAUAAGCUUUAUAUACAGUAGAGUCUCACUUAUCCAAGCCUCGCUUAUCCAAGCCUCUGGAUUAUCCAAGCCAUUUUUGUAGUCAAUGUUUUCAAUACAUCGUGAUAUUUUGGUGCUAAAUUUGUAAAUACCGUAAUUACUACAUAGGAUUACUGUGUAUUGAACUAGUUUUUCUGUCAAUUUUUUUGUAUCACAUGAUGUUUUGGUGCUUAAUUUGUAAUAUCAUAACCUAAUUUGAUGUUUAAUAGGCUUUUCCUUAAUCUUAUUAUCCAACAUAUUCACUUAUCCAACGUUCUGCUGGCCCGUUUAUGUUGGAUAAGUGAGAUUCUACUGUACCAAUAAAAUUACAUUAAUUGAGGCAUCAGUAGGUUAAAUGUUUUUGAAUAUUUACAUGAAACUGUAAUUUAAGAUAAAACUGUCCAACUCUGACUAAAUAAUUAUUUUAACAUUCUUCAAUGUAAAUGCUUAUGCAUCCUUUUAAUAAUAAUAGAGUAAAAUAAUACACGGACAAUGCGGUUGCUGUUGCCCGCUUUUGGUCUAAAACUAUUUAGUUGCUUGAGAUUUCCUUUUUUUUUCAUUAUUUUUUUUUUAAAAAUGUAUUUGUUAUGCAAUGCUUUUGACACGAAAUAAAUAAAUAAAUACAUGUAAUAAUAAUAAUAAUAAAUAGAGUAAAAUAAUACAGUAGAGUCUCACUUAUCCAACAUAAACGGGCCAGCAGAAAGUUGGAUAAGCGAAUAUGUUGGAUAAUAAGGAGAGAUUAAGGAAAAGCCUAUUAAACAUCAAAUUAGGUUAUGAUUUUACAAAUUACGCACCAAAACAUCAUGUUAUACAACAAAUUUGACAGAAAAAGUAGUUCAAUACGCAGUAAUGCUAUGUAGUAAUUACUGUAUUUACGAAUUUAGCACCAAAAUAUCACAAUAUAUUGAAAACAUUGACUACAAAAAUGCGUUGGAUAAUCCAGAACGUUGGAUAAGCGAGUGUUGGAUAAGUGAGACUCUACUGUACAUGUAAUAAUAAAUAGAAUAAAAUAAUAAAUGCAAUAAUAAUAAUAUCAGAGUGAAAUAAUAAAUGUAUUAUUAAUAAUAAUAAUAGAGUAAAAUAAAUAUAAUAGUAGCAACAAUAAUAGAGAAAAAUAAUAAAUGUAAUAAUACCAAUAAUAAUAGAGAAAAAUAAGAAAUGUACCAUAUAUUCUCGAGUAUAAGCCAACCAGGACCCUCACCCGAGUAUAAGCCGAGGGGGGCUUUUUCAGUCUUAAAAAAAAGGCUGAAAAACUAGGCUUAUACUCGAGUAUAUACAGUAGGCGGCUCGGCUUAUAUUUGGGUCGGCUUAUACUCAAGUAUAUAUGGUAAGCACUAUAUAAGCUUUAUAUAUUAUUAUAUUGUACUAUACGACUAUAUUGCAAUAUUAUUAGUAAUAUAUACAUUUAGAUCAGGGGUCCCCAAACUAAGGCCCGGGGGCCGGAUGCAGCCCUCCAAGGUAAUUUACCUGGCCCUCACCCUCAUUUGUAAUAUAAUAUUUUCAUAUCAGUUUUAAUAAUAUAAUAUAUUGUAUAUAUAUAUAAUAUUGAUAAUAAUAUUAUCAUUUUAUACAAUACAAUACUAACAAUAAUAUCAUAUAAUAAUAUUAAUUAUAUGUUAUAUAUUACAUAUAAUAUUACAGUAUAGUGGUAUAGUUCAAUAUAGUAUAAUGCUAAUAUUGUGCUAUGCUAAUAAUAUAAUAUAUUGUAUGUACAUACAGCUGCUCUGAGUUCCCUUCGGGGUGAGAAGGGUGGGAUAUAAAUGUAGUAAAUAAAUGUAGUAAAUGAAUAAAUAAAUAAUUUUGGACUUAGGCUCGCCCAAAGUCUGAAAUGACUUGAAGACACACAACAACAACAACAAUUAACCUGUUAUGGUUGAGCCUUAUGGCUCCGAUACUGGGAGACGUGGUCGUAAGACUCCUCGGGAGUCAGACUCUCUUGAGGAGCGCGAAAGGAAACGGCUGCGGGACUUAUUUGCAGAACCAACAGACGAAGACUCCUUUGAGGGUUUUACCGAGGGAAUGGAGGAAGAGAUGGUUAGUUCUGAGGAGGAUGACAUGGAAUGGACUCGUGUGAGGGAGGAUUUGGGUGUCACCGGCAAUGAUAGUGUGGGAGGCGACUGGCGGGUUGCAGGAUCGGACCCGUGGACGAGUUGGAGGGAUGGAACGGGAUCCACAGCUGGGGAUGCUGUGGGGCGUAGUCAAAGGUGUUUUAGCUCUGAUGAGGAGGAUGAUGAUGAGGCACCUGGAAUUAGGGUAACAGCUGACAGCGAUGAGGAGUUGUGAACUGGCAUAAAAUGGGGUUUAGAAUCCAGGGCUAAUUGCGUUGGGCAAGGUAAUCUGGAUGAACGCUUGGGCUCUUGUUGGGAACUUCCUGAAGACGGGUGUGAUUCGUUUGCUGAAUACGUAAGUUACCAAGGACACUGGGCAUAGACGGCGGGAGGAAAUGUGUGGGCUUUUCCUGUGCAACUUGUGUUUAAUCUUGAUAGCUUGGACCUCCGUCGUCUUUUUGACGGACAUUAAUUGCCUACUCUGGAAUGACGCUGGACUGACUGACUGACUACGACCUCGGACUAUCCCUUCUGUGGCUAUCGGUGGAAUUUGUGAACUAAAGACGUCUGUACCUGGCUUUCGACCUCGGACCGGAUUGGGACCCUGCUGAUCGUUGCAACCCUGAUUGAUGUGCCUGGAUCCGGAUUUCGUUCGUUGCACGGAGGAGUAACAACCUUAGUUACUCAUUUGUAGCUUUGGAGUAGCAGAGAGGAAUCUGCUGCCAGCUAUUUAUGUUUCAUUGAAUCUUUGUUUAUCAACUUUUGCUUGUUUAAAUUGCCAGGCUGAAGUAAGCAUUUUUGGUUUAACCCGGAUUAAACUCCUGUUUAAUCUGGUUUAUCUUUUGAACCGCUUUUAGUACCAGCGGAGUCUUUUUUGUAUCUUUUCACACUGAAGGCAAGUGUUUGCCUAGUCCUUUGUUUCUUACGGGCAUUUUUAGUUCUGUAACUUUAAUAAACUGUGUUGAACUUUA